rnacentral:rRNA from 1 species
UACGCAGGGGGCUAGCGUUGCUCGGAAUCACUGGGCGUAAAGCGCACGUAGGCGGCUUUUUCAGUCAGAGGUGAAAUCCUGGAGCUCAACUCCAGAACUGCCUUUGAUACUGGAGAGCUUGAGUCCGGGAGAGGUGAGUGGAACUGCGAGUGUAGAGGUGAAAUUCGUAGAUAUUCGCAAGAACACCAGUGGCGAAGGCGGCUCACUGGCCCGGUACUGACGCUGAGGUGCGAAAGCGUGGGGAGCAAACAGG